AUUGAACGCUGGCGGCAUGCCUUACACAUGCAAGUCGAACGGCAGCAUGGGUGCUUGCACCUGAUGGCGAGUGGCGAACGGGUGAGUAAUGCAUCGGAACGUACCCGGAAGUGGGGGAUAACGUAGCGAAAGUUACGCUAAUACCGCAUAUUCUGUGAGCAGGAAAGCGGGGGAUCGCAAGACCUCGCGCUUCCGGAGCGGCCGAUGUCGGAUUAGCUAGUUGGCGGGGUAAAGGCCCACCAAGGCAACGAUCCGUAGCGGGUCUGAGAGGAUGAUCCGCCACACUGGGACUGAGACACGGCCCAGACUCCUACGGGAGGCAGCAGUAGGGAAUAUUGGACAAUGGGGGCGAACCCUGAUCCAGCCAUGCCGCGUGAGUGAAGAAGGCCCUCGGGUUGUAAAGCUCUUUUGUCCGGAAGAAAAGCAAUCGGUUAAUACCCGGUUGUUCUGACGUACCGGAAGAAUAAGCACCGGCUAACUUCGUGCCAGCAGCCGCGGUAAG
rnacentral:rRNA from 1 species